UACGAAGGUCCCAAGCGUUGUUCGGAAUCACUGGGCGUAAAGGGAGCGUAGGCGGCGUGGUAAGUCAGAUGUGAAAUCCCGGGGCUCAACCCCGGAACUGCAUCCGAUACUGCCAUGCUAGAGGAUUGGAGAGGUAGCUGGAAUUCUUGGUGUAGCAGUGAAAUGCGUAGAGAUCAAGAGGAACACUCGUGGCGAAAGCGAGCUACUGGACGAUUCCUGACGCUGAGGCUCGAAGGCUAGGGUAGCGAAAGGG
rnacentral:rRNA from 1 species